rnacentral:tRNA from 1 species
GGGGUCGUAGUUCAGUUGGUUAGAACGCUGGCCUGUCACGCCGGAGGUCGCGGGUUCGAGUCCCGUCGGCCCCG